CCCCUAGUACGGCGAGUGAAGCGGGAACAGCUCAAAUUUGAAAUCUGGCCCUCGGGUCCGAGUUGUAAUUUGUAGAGGAUGCUUUUGGUGCGGUGCCUUCCGAGUUCCCUGGAACGGGACGCCUUAGAGGGUGAGAGCCCCGUACGGUUGGACGCCUAGCCUCUGUAAAGCUCCUUCGACGAGUCGAGUAGUUUGGGAAUGCUGCUCUAAAUGGGAGGUAUAUUUCUUCUAAAGCUAAAUACUGGCCAGAGACCGAUAGCGCACAAGUAGAGUGAUCGAAAGAUGAAAAGCACUUUGAAAAGAGGGUUAAAUAGCACGUGAAAUUGUUGAAAGGGAAGCGUUUAUCACCAGACUUUUUCUAGGGGGAUCAUCCGGUGUUCUCACCGGUGCACUUCCCCUGGUUGAGGCCAGCAUCGGUUUUCGGAGGGGGAUAAAAGCUUCGGGAAUGUGACUCCCUCGGGAGUGUUAUAGCCCGUUGCAUAAUACCCUUCUGGGGACCGAGGUUCGCGCAUCUGCAAGGAUGCUGGCAUAAUGGUGAUCAACGACCCGUCUUGAAACACGGACCAAGGAGUCGAACAUUUAUGCGAGUGUUUGGGUGUCAAACCCUCACGCGUAAUGAAAGUGAACGGAGGUGAGAGCCCUUACGGGUGCAUCAUCGACCGAUCCUGAUGUCUUCGGAUGGAUUUGAGUAAGAGCAUAACUGUUCGGACCCGAAAGAUGGUGAACUAUGCGUGGAUAGGGUGAAGCCAGGAGAAAUCCUGGUGGAGGCUCGCAGCGGUUCUGACGUGCAAAUCGAUCGUCAAAUCUGCGCAUGGGGGCGAAAGACUAAUCGAA
rnacentral:rRNA from 1 species